GGGCCCGCACAAGCGGUGGAGCAUGUGGUUUAAUUCGAUGAUACGCGAGGAACCUUACCAGGGCUUAAAUGUAGUGGGACAGGUCUAGAGAUAGACCCUUCUUCGGACUCAUUACAAGGUGCUGCAUGGUUGUCGUCAGCUCGUGCCGUGAGGUGUCAGGUUAAGUCCUAUAACGAGCGCAACCCCUAUCGUUAGUUGCCAGCGAGUAAUGUCGGGAACUCUAACGAAACUGCCAGUGCAAACUGUGAGGAAGGUGGGGAUGACGUCAAAUCAUCACGGCCCUUACGUCCUGGCUACACACGUGCUACAAUGGCCGGUACAGAGAGCAGCCACUUCGCAAGAAGGAG
rnacentral:rRNA from 1 species